GGCCGGGAAAGUUAAGUGAAGGCUCCUUGCCAACAAAGGAAGUUGAGCCAAAACCAAGGUUUGUCAAAAGAAGCCAGAUGACUCCACAGUCUUUACAUCACCACUCCAUCACCAUAGCCACUGGAUGUUCCCACACCUCUCCCUCCAUCUGCACUUCAUGGCUUGAUACCUUGCAGUGAUGAUAUGAGUAAUCAUGAUGCCACCAUGUGCCAAGAAUUACCCACAUCCUAUUUUCCCCUUACCCCUCUGAAGGAAAUAACCUCUGUGUUCUUGAACAUAUACACAACCCAAUCCCAAAAUCCUGCUUUGAGAUUCUGUUUUCGGAGCAUAAAUUGAACCAACUUAAAUAAUAACAGGGUGCUGUCCCUCAGUUCAAUAGUCCCACGUAGCACACCAGAAAUAUAACAGAUGACAACUAUUCCUUGCAUUUUACAUAUGCUGGAUUUUCCAUUCUGUAUCCAUGGCAACCAAGGUACAAAACUUAGUCUCAGUUUCCAUUUUUAAAAUCAAACUACAACGAUCAUUUUGUGAAAUUUUGGUAGUCUUUGACGAAUAUUGUGGCAUCAACAAAAAGGAUCAUAUUAUAUAACUUUUCACCCUAAAAUCUCCACUCUGUCAUUCCUUGGCUUCCAAACACUGUCUUUCCCCCUACUUUGCCAGCAGGAAUUUCUCUUCUCUUUCUACUCCAACUCAGCUAUUAAUUAAGCACUCCCUUGGGGAUGUUGCAUUCCAGUUGAAGCAGAAUAUCAACAUACUUCUUCCAUACAAAUUCAACAUUUUUCCAAGAAAAAUAUGAGUGAUUUAUAUUUCUUUUCUCUUAUUACUUUUGCAUCCUCAGCAUAUAGCUCAAUGACUGUCAAACGUCAAAAUCAUAAUAACAACAAUACUUUAUAUUUGUAAUGUUUGCUAUGUGUCUUAUGUGUAUUAUCUCAUUUAAUCUUCACAACAAUACCAUGAGGUAUAUACCAUUAUUAUCCUCAAUAUUACGAGGAAAUCAUGACAAAGCUGAGGCUUAGAGAGUCCAAGUAACAUACUCAACAUUAUGCUUAGCUGGUAAGUGAGACAGCCAGCUCUAUUUGAUCCUAAAGCCAUAGGCACCACAGCUCUUUCAACAGUGUUGAUCAAAUACAGCCAGAUGAGGAGCCCCAAUAAUGGCUACACAUAUUUUUUAAUUCUUAUGACUUCAGUUUCACAUAUUUGGGUGACCCCAAACAAAAUUCCCUAGCAUUGUCCCUAAGCCUUUUUGCCAGAUGUCUACUUUUUAUGACUCCGCCAACGGCUGCAUGUAACAGAAACCAACUCUGGCUAAAUUAACCAAAAAUAACAGGAUUUGUUGAAAGGUAAAUGGUGGCCACAGAACUAAAGCAACCACUGAUCAGUCAGUCUUGAGAAGGACAGAAUCCAGUCAAAACCAGAGAAUGACGUCGCAGGAACUAAUGGGACAGCCUCUUGGGGCCGCCACCAUUGGGAUGAAUCAGCUUCAACUAUUUUCAGUUCUUGUGUCACUCCACUUCAAGCCUCAAAUUCCAGCGAGAGUCUGGCUGACAUCAUUUGGAUCCCCUGUCCAGCCCUUGGCCAGGGGAUAGGGGAUGAGGGGGAUGGGGCUCUGUGAUUGACAGUUCCACCAAGAUUGCAUUCCAGAAAGAAACACAGAAGGGCACUAACCAAAAGGUUUCAUGGGCGCUGGGCAGACAAAUACAAGAUGUCUGCUACAGUGGCUUUAACACAUCCGUGAUCGGAGGAGCAAGAUUUAUCCUACUGAAAACAUUCAAAAAGAUGCACUAUAGAGGCAAUUCCUAAAGAAACAGUCCAAAAUGCUCGGAGCACUGUUUCUCAAAAGGAUCACUUUUUUUUAGUUAACAAAGGAUCAGUGUGAAGUUGUAUCAAAA
rnacentral:lncRNA from 1 species